rnacentral:lncRNA from 1 species
CAUUACGCCAUAUUUUUCAAGCCUUCAUUCUGAAUUUAUGGUUCGAAAAAUUCGCUUUUUUUAAGCGACGACGAAUGAUUUGACCGAAGAGGAAACAGCGGGCAUGACUGAAUAACAUUCAGGUAAGCAUAUUGUUAUGUUAUAUGUAUAAUGGAGCAGUUUUGAAAGUAAAUAUUCGCUUUCUUCAUUCAUGAAUUUUGAGCAUGUGUUCAUGUUUAAAAUUUGAAUUUGCCGCGACAAUAUUUGAAUUAAAAAGAUGAUAUAUUAGUUUUAUAGAAGGCUUACAUUUGACUUUAUAUUAAAUUAUGUUUAUUGUAUAAAGGGCAACUAAUAUUUGUGUAUAUGAAUAUAUGACAGACUACCAGAUAACAAUGUUUCUGGUAUAAAGUAUAAAUAUAGCUUGGCAUCUACUCAAUCAUCAUAUGCUCAACUACACAUGUCCCAGCUAAACAUGGUUUGAGAAAAUGUAACCACUUGUUUCAAAUCAACUGCUACUUUCAUAAGUUUCUAAUUUUUAUAUAUCUAGGUUUUUUAUGUCCAAAUUCUUCAAUCAAUGAAAAAAUCUAUUUCACUGUUAGAGGUGUUAUGCACCAGUCAUGAAAAACCUAUACAACUCAGCCCCCCGAAUAUAAGCCCAGUAGCCCACUACGUUAUUCAACAUUGACAUUGUCUUUUAAUUAAAGUAAAAUUGUCUGGGAUAAGACAAGUAAAAAAUAAGUAAGGCACACUGGGGCGCAUUGCGGCUUGAUGGGUUUACCAGAGACAUUGUCAAAUUUUUUGGUCAACCAAUUAAGCUGCAGUGUUUCCCCAUUGACGAGUAAAAUCGUUUGGCGUUAGACAAGUGAAAAAAAAAGUAGAGCGCACUGGGGCGCGUUGUGGCUCAAUGGGUUAAUAUAUCAGAGAACAAUAUUUAAAAACAUUGUCUUUAUAGCUUAAGUCAACGACAAAACGUCGUUAAUUAAUCAAAGUGCAUUAUUACUAUGUGUUUAUUUUCCUGUUUAUGACUGACUUGUUUAUUAUACUAACACAAAAGAUUGAAUGUCCAUGUAUAAGCUCUAUCCCUCCUAUAUACUGUAACCCCCCCCCCUUUGUAUAAGCCCACCAAAUAUAUAGCCCAGGGUUUAUAGUCCGAGAUUUACGGUAUUCCAUGAACCCAUUAAGAUGUGAUGUUGUGAUGGAUUAACAGACUGUGUGUGCAUGUCUCAGUUACCAUUAGCACUUACAUACCCUAAUUUAACCCAUUAAGCUGCAGAGCUUCCCCGCGUUUUCCCCGUUUCCUAGGAUACGAGGCCUCAUCACGAUUUAUGAAUAAGGUCUAUAGUACUCUGAUUUUCCAUUUAACAUACAAGCCUCUAGUCCUGGGAUAGGGUACAUUUUGAUUUACGUUGGACAAAGCUACAGUUCGGUCGGACACAAAUACACUCAGGUCGGACAAACAAUAAACCUCAAUUUCACUUUGGUCGGACAGAAUGUCUGGUGGUUUCCUCUCUACGUCGGACAAUUUCACUAAUGGGUCGGACAAUGUCCAUGACCGACCGAUAUUUUAAGGCCUGCAUAGCCGGAUUAACCCUAACCCGUAGUUAAAAUUUAUGUAUUUCUACAUACAGUAUCUUUUUGUUUUAAAAUUAUGAAAAGAAAACUCCUAUGGUACUGAUCCAGACAAGAUGUCUAAAGAAAUAUUUCCAAAUUUAUAAACAAACUGUUAGGAAGUUUGCUUAAUCUAAGGUUAACUUAUCGGCUUUCGAACAAUCAACCCCUGCAUGGUGAUUUUGUUUGUCAAUGGGGAGUGUGUUGGACUUAAAAGGUUUUAACCUUUUUAUUGAAACUAGAUUGUCUGCCCGCAUUUUGUGUUAACACAUUAUUAAGAUAAAAGCCAGACUGCUUUCAGUACUUCAUGAUUUUACUAUGUCUAACAUCAGAGGGUCACAUUUCAUAUUUAACCCUUUUAGAUGCAAAGGACAUUUUAGUCAUCCAGAGGGGGAGGGAGUCUAAGAGUAGAAUCUUCUGAGACUGAUAAUAGUAAGAUGUACUAAUUAAGACAUCAAUGGAAUGGGGUAGGGGGGGGGGGUUAAAUUCCAAGUUUCUUUGUAUGUCAUGCUUGAAGUUUUCAAGGAUGGAUAGAUCGGCUUAGAUAAAAUGUCAAUUUGAUGUUUUGUGUGGCAACUUGAAUAUGGACAUCUCCCUAAUUGGAAACAGUUAAAGUCCUUAGUUUGUUUGUUUGUUUGUUCAAACUCAUGAAUACAUUUAGCUAGCUACACCACCCACAUGAUCUGCUUAGUAAUAUAUGUAACAACCCAAUUCACUCCAAUUAACCCAGUUUUCAGCACUUUCUUAAAUUAUGUCACCUUUCCUAAUGCUGGACAAGUUAAUUUGUGUGUAGCUAGAUUUUGCCCAUGUUUCAUGUUGACAUAUUUAGAUGCAAUUUUCCCUAACACUCCCUACUUUAAGUCCUUUAAUAUUGAACUGUGACGUCUCAUGCUAGACAAUUUUACUUAUCGACUGCAUGGACUCAUUUCACCUAUUAACACCGAAGAAACAAUUUCCUCUUAAAUGUUGCCUACUUUCGGUUCUUUCUAGGGGUGUGCAGGACAGAGUAUUUCUGCUAUCCAGCCAGAUACAGGAUAUGCUGGAUGGCUGAAAAAUAUCCAGCCCGAUUAAGGGUAUUAUUCAAAUAAUUAUAUAAGGUUCAGGCAUCAUUUAAGGUUAAGUACUGGUAAUAAUUUUAUUUGGUUAAAAAGUAAACAGUCUAAAACUAGUAAACCUGCAUCAUUGGUAGCAAACAUGCAUCAUUGGUAGCAAAGCCUCGUUUACAUCAGUUAAAAGUUCAAAUCCCCAUUUACUGGACAAACAAGCAUUGAAAAUACUGAUCAUAUUUAUCAUAUUUUUACUUCAAUGAUCAUGAUAUGAUAACCUUAUCAAAUCAUUUUCUAACCUGAAAAGAAGGCCUGAACCCUAUAUGAAUAAUAUCCGGCAUUGGGUAGCCGGAUACCAGAUAAUGAAUUAAAAUCUUAAUAUCCGGCCAGAUACAGUAUCAGUCCAUUGCAUCCUAUGUCUUGAAAUGCCAAACAAAUUAACUUGUUAAAUGACUGUAUAUUGAUAUUCAAUAUACUUAGCUAAUAUAUGCAUCCUUUUAUUGUUAACCCUUUGAGCAGCAAUGUGCCAAAGUGCACCCUACUUUGUUAUGUUGCACUUAACUAACACCAGAUAUUUUACUUUGUGAAAUGCCAGACAAUUUUACUCCUCAAGAGCAGUGUCCUGCUCAUUAAUGGUUAUCCAAACUAUCUGCCAAUGUGCCUUGAUAACCCAUUAAGCCGAAAUGCACCCAAAUGGACCCGCCUUUGUUAUUUUACUCUGUCAAACGCCAGACAAUUUUAGUCACCAAGAAGAGAGUCCUGCGUGCUAGUGGGUUAAAUGACUUAAUUACAUAUGUUAUAUAUAAACUUAAGCUGUUAGAUUGUCCCAUUGUAUAUUAAUUUUUUACUUAUCUUGACACAGGCUUGUAUGUUGGAUUGAUACGACUACCUGUAAAUAUGGUUAAACUUGGCUAUGUGAUUCAAAGGUUGUGGUUCACCGAGCGAUAAAGAAAAUGAUACAAAGAUGGAAUGAUUGGAUGCAAGUUAUUUACAGUGUUUCAUAUGACAGGUAUUCUGAUUGUGGAAGAUGUGGGCUUGCAAUAUUUUGACAAUUGCAUGGCUAUAAAGUACGAGACAAUAUAGUACUCCAUUACUCUAAUUGCCAGAACAGU